CCUACGGGAGGCUGCAGUGAGGAAUAUUGGUCAAUGGACGAGAGUCUGAACCAGCCAAGUAGCGUGAAGGAUGACUGCCCUAUGGGUUGUAAACUUCUUUUAUAUGGGAAUAAAACAGGGUAUGCAUACCCUCUUGUAUGUACCCUAUGAAUAAGGAUCGGCUAACUCCGUGCCAGCAGCCGCGGUAAUACGGAGGAUCCGAGCGUUAUCCGGAUUUAUUGGGUUUAAAGGGUGCGUAGGUGGGUUGUUAAGUCAGUUGUGAAAGUUUGCGGCUCAACCGGAAAAUUGCAGUUGAAACUGGCAGUCUUGAGUGCAGUAGAGGUGGGCGGAAUGCGUGGUGUAGCGGUGAAAUGCUUAGAUAUCGCGAAGAACUCCGAUUGCGAAGGCAGCUCGCUGUGCUGCAACUGACGCUGAUGCUCGAAAGUGUGGGGAUCGAACAGGAUUAGAUACCCUAGUAGUC
rnacentral:rRNA from 1 species